GCCGCCUGUGACGUCGUGAGAAGUCCACUGAACCUUAUCAUUUAGAGGAAGGAAAAGUCGUAACAAGGUUUCCGUAGGUGAACCUGCGGAAGGAUCAUUGUCGA
rnacentral:rRNA from 1 species